GGUGAUUACAGAACUAAACCUUUACAGUAGGAGUCACGAAAGCAAAGCACAAUUAUAAGAAUGUAUCAUGGCUAUGUGAUACGAAAUUUUGUUUUUCUCCACUGCAGAGAGUUAGAUUCUCAACAUCUGUCCUGUUCAGUUUGAGCAUAUAGGACAAGUUCUUUGUUAUAUGUACUCAGAGGUUUGUACUGUUUAUCGCAUUACAUUACAUUACAUUACAGGUUCUAGAUGCUGAUUCAAAGAAAAGGUGAGCCAACCCUCAUUUUUUCUCAAACUUUAAUGCUAUAGUUUCCUCUCAUGCUAGCUCUCUUUUCCCUUGUACCAGUGCUUCACUAAACAACCAAGAUUUGGAAAUGGUUAUUAGUUAUGUUCUACUUAUUUGACAGAGUUCUGUGAAAAGUAUUCAUGUUCUUUUAACUGAAUUUAAUUCUUUUCUACUUAACUAAUGAACUGCUAAGCAAAUAUUGUAGGGCAGUCGGCUUAUUUGCAUCUAUACAUGCCUUUAUAUGUUUGUUAGGAACUUUUGAAAAAUAUAGCUCCUACAUGGAUGAAUGAAGAAGGACCCUGAAGCUGAUAAAGCUUUUGGCUGGGUACCCUGAAGCUGAUAAAGCUGAUUCUCCCUUAGCAUGUGGAUUGGGAUUGGGAACAAAAACUAACCUUAAACCUCCAAUGCAUUCCAAGUUGCUUUCUUUUUCUGGAGUUGGUUAAGUUUGGUUUACCUUCUUGCUUCCAUAAGAAUGCUGCAGACAUAGCCAUCAGGCUGUCAAUGGGAUGUAAUUGAGAGGCUUAAUGUUUUGAGGGGCAGAGGCAUGACUUCAAUGUAUUCUUGGUCUUGCAAGAGGCACAGAUGAAUAGCUCCGGAGCGCGCUAGUCGGACCCGUGAACCUAGCUAGAUUAGCUCUAUUAUCGGUCUGCGUGCCUUGAAGUUGUACUAGAUAUUGUUUGAUGAUUUCUUAUGUUUGGAUAGUUU